rnacentral:rRNA from 1 species
UACGUAGGGUGCGAGCGUUAAUCGGAAUUACUGGGCGUAAAGCGUGCGCAGGCGGUUUUGUAAGCCAGAUGUGAAAGCCCCGGGCUCAACCUGGGAAUGGCAUUUGGGACUGCAAGGCUUGAGUGCGGCAGAGGAGACUGGAAUUCCUGGUGUAGCAGUGAAAUGCGUAGAUAUCAGGAGGAACACCGAUGGCGAAGGCAGGUCUCUGGGCUGACACUGACGCUCAUGCACGAAAGCGUGGGGAGC